AUUGAACGCUGGCGGCAGGCUUAACACAUGCAAGUCGAGCGAGCGGCGGACGGGUGAGUAAUGUCUGGGAAACUGCCUGAUGGAGGGGGAUAAAUACUGGCAACGGUAGCUAAUACCGCAUACCAUCAGAUGUGCCCAGAUGGGAUUGGCUAGUAGGUGGGGUACUGGCUCACCUAGGCGACGAUCCCUAGCUGGUCUGAGAGGAUGACCAGCCACACUGGAACUGAGACACGGUCCAGACUCCUACGGGAGGCAGCAGUGGGGAAUAUUGCACAAUGGGCGCAGGCCUGAUGAAGCCAUGCCGCGGGUGUGUAGAAGGCCUUCGGGUUGUAAAGCACGUUCAGCGAGGAGGCGUUACUCGCAGAAGAAGCACCGGCUAACUCCGUGCCAGCAGCCGCGGUAAUUC
rnacentral:rRNA from 1 species